UACGUAGGGCGCAAGCGUUAUCCGGAAUUAUUGGGCGUAAAGAGCUCGUAGGCGGUUUGUCGCGUCUGCCGUGAAAGUCCGGGGCUCAACUCCGGAUCUGCGGUGGGUACGGGCAGACUAGAGUGAUGUAGGGGAGACUGGAAUUCCUGGUGUAGCGGUGAAAUGCGCAGAGUAUCAGGAGGAACACCGAUGGCGAAGGCAGGUCUCUGGGCAUUAACUGACGCUGAGAACGCGAAAGCGUGGGGAGCAAACAGG
rnacentral:rRNA from 1 species